UAUGCUUGACUCAAAGAUUAAGCCAUGCAUGUCUAAGUAUAAGCAACUUUGUACUGUGAAACUGCGAAUGGCUCAUUAAAUCAGUUAUAGUUUAUUUGAUGGUUUUUGCUACAUGGAUAACUGUGGUAAUUCUAGAGCUAAUACAUGCUGAAAAUCCCGACUUCGGAAGGGAUGUGUUUAUUAGAUAAAAAACCAAUGCCCUUCGGGGCUCCUUGGUGAUUCAUGAUAACUUUACGGAUCGCAUAGCCUUGCGCUGGCGACGGUUCAUUCAAAUUUCUGCCCUAUCAACUUUCGAUGGUAAGGUAUUGGCUUACCAUGGUUUCAACGGGUAACGGGGAAUAAGGGUUCGAUUCCGGAGAGGGAGCCUGAGAAACGGCUACC
rnacentral:rRNA from 11 species